UGUCCCUAUCUACUAUCUAGCGAAACCACAGCCAAGGGAACGGGCUUGGCAGAAUCAGCGGGGAAAGAAGACCCUGUUGAGCUUGACUCUAGUUUGACAUUGUGAAAAGACAUAGGGGGUGUAGAAUAGGUGGGAGCUUCGGCGCCGGUGAAAUACCACUACCCUUAUCGUUUUUUUACUUAAUCAAUUAAGCGGAACUGGGCUUCAUCGCCCAUUUUCUAGCGUUAAGGUCCUUCGCGGGCCGAUCCGGGUUGAAGACAUUGUCAGGUGGGGAGUUUGGCUGGGCCGGCACAUCUGUUAAACAAU
rnacentral:rRNA from 13 species